rnacentral:lncRNA from 1 species
AUGACCCCAAAACUCCCCUGGGCCCAUUCACUUAUCGUGGGGUCCAUCUUUUUGGAAGCAUUACACAAUCAGAACUCUCCUCCUUUUCCUCUUGCAAAUUUCAAAAAGAUUGGGAUGGUUAGGGGAGAAAAAGAAGCUUUGUGUCUAUCUCCUCACAGAUUCCCCUUUUGUGAAGUGCAAGGAAAAGUGAGAGCUGGACUCUUCUCUUUCCUUCCAAAAGCCCAACCUAUAUUGUUAAUUUUUAUAUAUUUCUUCCAUGUAUAAAUGCGCCAUUCUUUCACGGCUUUCCUAUUCUGCUUCUCUCUUUACAACUUGGUUUGUCCGUUUCUCUGCUCUCUUUUAUUCUCAUUCCCUGCUUCUUUCGUUUCUCUCCGCACUUGACGAGGAGUCUUAGUGGCGAAGUUUAGCUUACUUUAGCUUAGUUCUAGCAAAUUGUGGCGAGCCUUUUGACGGCACUUCUUUUGAGACCCCUUUCUGAAAGCCGGAGAAUUCUUGGCUUCUCUCUUCUUCCCCACUCUUGGAGUAAGUUUUUGAAGAGUUCGGUUUUUCUGUUUUUAUAUGUUUUUUGACUUGGAAAUGUUGUGUAGUUGGAGUGCAAGUUGCAGUUUGUGUUCUUGAGGAUUUUGGGGUUUUGUUUUGUUGGGUUUUCAGCAUUUUAGUUUCUUGUUUUGAGAUUGUUUAUUUUGUUUAUUUAUGUAUAGAUGUUUAAAGAAGGAGAUUUUCUGCCUGGAGUUCCCAAAUCUUAGUUAUAUUGGUGUCUUGGCCGGGGAAAAUGUGAUUUUUCUGUGGUUUUCUGGUAUUUAAAUUGCAUUAUAAUUUUGGAUCUGCUGUGAGAAUUAGUGGGAAUGCUGAAUUAAUAGUUUUUUUAUUGAUGUUUUUGUUUUCUUGGUGGUGGAUUCUAGAAAAGGUGCAUUUUCGACAUAUGGAUUUUACUUGGAUCAAUUUUUCUAAUAACUAUAUGAAGGGGAUGGGUCAUGGGUUGGUGAACUAGCUUGCUUCUAACAUGAAUAUUGCCUUUCUUGUAACCUUUUUUUUAAUGAUACUGUGAAAAAGUUUAUGUUUCUAAGCAAAAUCUUGUGGAUACUGAGGAAGGAUCAUUGAAAGCUGGGAUAAAGGUUUUCUCGCUAUGGUUCGUUGGUUUAUAGUGAAAUGUAACCGCGAGUUGCAUGAAAUGUUUUGUGAUCUCCUACUAAAACUCCAUUUUACUUACUUUUGACUUGUUUGAGCUUUCUAUGUUCGAAAUAUUAAUUUUGUGACUGUGACCUAUCAAUUCUACAUUAUUCAUUCCGAAUAUGACCUCUCUCUCUCUCUCUCU